rnacentral:tRNA from 1 species
GCAGUGGUGGUUCAGUGGCAGAAUUCUUGCCUUCUAUGUGGAGGACACUGGUUCGAUUCCUGGCCAGUGCA